CCUCGCUCUGCUUCUCCACCCGCCGUGGGAGCCGUUUUCCUCAGCCCAGCUCUGUUGAUGCUCAUUCUGGGCCCGGUCCCAAAGUAAGCUGCUCACAACGGUGGACUAGACCGGUCAGCUUUCUCCCUUGCCCCAGAACACACUUCGUUUUUUCUUAGAGGAAGAGGCUUCUAGCGCUCCCGCGUUCUGCUUUCCCAUUGCUGAAGUGACUCCCCGGAGAGCAGAGGUCUGUGGACCGCCCAACAUGUAAAGGAAAGUGCCCCUGGUAUGGACAUGCCAGAGUCUGGCUGUGCUUCCGGUUCCUCGGGAUUGGGCUUGGCCUCUGUCCUCGGGACUAUUGUAACCCUCAUCAACUGAAUCUUUCUGAACUCAUCAGCAAGCCAGGGGUUGGAGGAGGCCCUCUGAGCAGCGCUGGGGGAAUCACCCAGGGUCCUCUUUUUUUGUGGCGCUCUGGGAAGAAAGCCCCACUAGGAGCUUAGUAGCCACAGAGCAGAGUAAAGGUGGGGCUGUCUGCGCCUCUGUCAGUUGCCACUCAGAGGCGGUUCCCUGUGCAUUCUGCAGGGGCGAAACCAUCAGGUCUGGGAGCGAAGGCUGCAGGCUCCAUAUUGAGGUAGUACUUGAAGCCCACAGCCAACCCUUUCUGUCUUGAUUUGUGAAGCAGUAUCACCCUCCUGCCUUCAUCAUGUCCAGCUGGGACCUGCGAGGAACUCUGAGCCUUGAGGCCUGGGAGCUUGCCCUCUCGUCCUGGUCUCUGCUCAACCCUGGUCAAGGCUCUGCCUGGAGUUCCCACUGCUGUUGCUCCUUAAAUGAACUCUCUGGGAGUUGGGGAUGGGGAGGGAAAGCUCGUGUCAACAUUCCAAGUCUAAAUUUGAAGACAGCCGGUUUCCCCCGGGCACAGGGGACCCUGGGGGCAAAAUCUGUACGUUGAUCUCCUAACCCCCAAAUUCUAGAAUGUAGGAAGAGAUGAGCCCUUUAGGAGUGGUUCAAAAUGAAGCCGUCAGGCUGGGUCCUAAUCCAAUUUUACUGGUGUCAUAAGGUGACUAAGCCCCUCAGAGGGUUGGGGGGGGGGCACCUAGUGGGGGAACUCCCACGAGGAACGGGCCACCUGUAGGCCCAGGAGGCGGGGUCAUACAGGACCUUUUCAUAGCUGACUAAGGCUUUGCCUUCACCAUGCAACCACUUAGGAAUUCAAUGGAGCUUUAGGAGUGACUCUAUUGUAAAGGCCAGUUUGCUUAGGUCUUUUGCAUAUUAUGCUCUAUACCGCCUAGGGAUUCUGCUAGCAAGGCCAUUGCCUUGACCUUGUAUCAGAGCCAUGAGCUAAAACAAUACAACUUACCCAAGCUGUGGUAUUGUGUUAUUAGCAACCGAAAAUGCACUCAGACAAGUGUUCACAUUCGUAUUCCAGGAUCGUAUCUGGAUACCAGGGGCUCAGAAAAUGCCUUUCUCAUACUUCUCUGUAAAAAUAAAAGACUGGAGAAAGUG
rnacentral:lncRNA from 1 species